rnacentral:lncRNA from 1 species
CGGCGCGUCAAAGUCCACGAUGCGGCGCGCCUCAAGCGUACGCCAUGCGCCCAGCGGACACGCGCACAUGCCCGAUGCGGCGGCGCUUGGCGUCACGCCCCACGAUUGCCACGGGCAGCGCGCCAGCAGGCGCCCGAUGCGCACGGGGUCGCCCGAGGCCAGCGUCGUGCUGGCCCACGUGCCCAGAUCGAAAGCGAGGCGCGGUGAGACGCGCGCCCACGGCGACUGGGUCGUCCAACGUACGAUAGCAUCAAAGCACACGACGUCUUGCGCGCGGUCGAGCGCUGCGGCGAUCGACACAUCGGCCCACGGUAUGCAAAACGGCCCGGCGGCGGCCCAGUCGAGCGCGUCGGUGUGACCGCGCGCGAGGGCAUCGACCGCGUACGAGGGCGGCAAGGUCGGGCGGCGGGCGGCAGUGGCAUCGUCGGUGCGGCGUCGCUUGUAUGCGCGUGUCGACGCCGAUUGAGGUCUCCCGCUGCGCAUCUGGGACGCGUCUCUGUCGACACCCGCGUGUACGGGUGGCAAUCCCAAAAGGAGUGCCGCGCACGCAACGUGUCCAUGGGCAACGGCGAUCGAGGCGCACGACGCCGGCCACUGUUUGGCGCGUGCUGUAAGCACACCGAGCAGGCCGAGGUCGCCCCGCUCGGCCGCCACGACCCAGAGCCCCUGUGUGGGCGAUGGCGUGGCGCCGUCGGCCAGCCACGCGAGAAUGUCGACGCGGUUGGAUUUGGCCGCCGCGUCGGCGAUGGCGUCUGCCGCGCGCGUCCUGUGCCGGUCCGAAAUGUGAGGCCACGACACGAGCACAAUGUCCAGGCGCCCGGCGUCGGUGGCGGCGACGAGCGCCGGCGUCAGAUCCACGCCGCCAAAGGGGUCCGCUCGGAUGGGACAGUCGGCGAGCACGCGGACCAGAGCGUCCGCGCAGCCGCCUCGACCCAUGUCUCGAAUCCACCGCGCAAGGCGCGCGGGUUCGAGGUAAGCCGGCAUGCCGAUGCGGUCCAGCAGGUCGGCCCGGCCGGCGCCUAUGACGGCGUCGAGUGCGUGGUCGGUGGGCCAUAUGCGUGGGUAGUGGGCGACGACGCGGACGAGACCGACACCCAGACCGGGCGCCUGCAGAGUCUUGUCGUUGUGCCAGUCAAACGAACCACACGCAAAGCCCUUGCGUGCCGCGCACGCGUGGCAGCGGCGCCACAGGACGAUGGCCGUGUCGAUGGCGUCAGCACGACCCGAGCGCACCGCGGCCGAUACGAUGCCGCACGAGAUUGUCUCGUGGCUGUCGUCGAGGCCGACGGCGCGGCGGUCAUUGUCGGCCAGAGCGCCAUCUCUGUCAUGGCGGUUGCCAGCGAGACCGUCGACGGCGCCAAAGACCUCGGCCACAGAGACUGACGCACGUAUAUCAGACACUGCCGCCGUUGAAUGAGCCAGAGGGCGCUCUGGCGCGACGUCGGUCAUGUAAUCGCCGUAUGCGCGCGCGGCCUCCAUGGCAACGUCCAUGCGCCCGGCCAGCGCCGCUGCGAUCGCCAUGCGGCGACACGCAACCGGACGAUCGAGAAACAUAUCGGCAAAUUCGCGCCACACCCAUGAGAGCGCGUCGUCGGGCCGCGCGCUCGCUGCGGCGGCGCCGAUCACGAGCAUCGAAUCCGUAAUGAGCCAGCGCCUGCCAUCGCGGGAACCGCGCCACAUGCGUGCCCCCUUUUGCCAUGCGUCGACGCCACCGCAGUGCAGGACUCGGCACAUGACGGCGCGGGCGGUCUUGGGCCACGCGCGCCACAGCGCCGUGAGCAACCGCUCGUCGGCAUCGCCGCUCGACUGGUCCCGUGUGACAUCACCGGCAUCGUCCUCCUUUAGGGCGACGAUGGCGUCGCUGCAGUCGCGUGCCAGGGCCCAGUGGGCACGCGCCAGGGCGACGUCAAUGAUCUCUUGGCAGCCUUUGUAGUGGAGGCCCCCCGCCGCGGCAAUCCACACCGCCACGCCAAGGUGCCCGGCAGCGAGGGCCGCCGCAAAUGGGUGGCCGUCGGGUUGCGUGUCAGUCGCGGCUCGACGACAAAAGAUCCAAUCGAGAAAGGCGGCACAGUUGGCGCACCACGGCUGGCAGCGCCGCGUCGGGGCGUCCCUAGGCGUGAAAUCGACGCAGCACGCACACCGCGCAUCGCCGUACCAAAGGAGGGCCGCGCGUGCAUAGAGAGCAUGCACGAGAUCCAAUCUCCCCGAGGCGGCGGCUGCCGUCAUGGCGGCCGGCAAACAUGCGUGUGCGCCGUCCAACGAUGGUCCGUGGAGGCGUGCCGUCGCAGACGCUGUUGGCGCGCCCCGAAUGGGACAAAACCCGCGGGGCCGGCGCGCAUCUCUGACCAAUCGGUCUCGGGCACGCGCCGCACACGGACAGACACCGCCAGCACUGUCCACGGCGCGUGCGAGGGCCUGCCGACCCAUGGCGGCCUCGCCGAGGACCCAAAAGAGGCGCGACGCCGCCAGGCACGCGCCGACGGCCGACGGCGGCAACCACGAGAGAAGCGCUGCGAUGACUUCGGCGGGCAUAGCCUCUAGCGACAGUUGGCCGCUUCCGGCCGGCGUCGGCUCCAUCGUCGAUGAAUCCAUUUUUUCUUUCUUUUUUUUUCUCCUUUUCCAACGAGAAACACUCACGGCGCCCAGCGACGAUGGGCGAGCAACGUAGAAAAAAAGAGGAUGAGGGACCGGAGAUGACGAGUCUGUGAGCGCACGCACACCAGCCAGAGGCGCCCCGCCUCGGGAUGAAUGGCGCGCCAAUAGGCCAUUCUCCAACGAAAAAAUUCAAGGCCGACAGAAAGCCAUAGAGCGAAAGCGCGGCGACGACACCGCGCGAAAAAAAACGGAAAGAACGGCCAUGUGCACAGAACCCAAAUUGGAUCCUCAGCGUCGCCAUUGUUCUCUCUCUCUCUCUCUCUCUCUUAUAUCCUAUAUAUGUGGUCGUCCUCGAUUUCGGGCUGGUCUUGCUUUGCACGGCCACGCAAGGCGGUCGAAACAAAAAAAAGAGCAAGGACAAAAAUGCAUGGAAAAAAAGGUGGCAAGAUGUAUUGCGCUGUUGGGGAGAACUCGAAAGAGACAAGGGCAAUGUUUAAAAAAAAAAAAGAGGCAAAAAAACAGCGACGCCAGAUGUGGU